rnacentral:rRNA from 1 species
CCUACGGGAGGCUGCAGUGAGGAAUAUUGGUCAAUGGGCGGAAGCCUGAACCAGCCAAGUAGCGUGCAGGAUGACGGCCCUACGGGUUGUAAACUGCUUUUAUACGGGAAUAACGCGCCUUACGUGUAGGUCUUUGCAUGUACCGUAUGAAUAAGGACCGGCUAAUUCCGUGCCAGCAGCCGCGGUAAUACGGAAGGUCCGGGGGUUAUACGGAUUGAUUGGGUUUAAAGGGAGCGUAGGCCGCAUGUCAAGCGUGCUGUGAAAUGUCCGGGCUCAACCCGGGCCUUGCAGCGCGAACUGGCGUGCUUGAGUCCGCGGAAAGCAGGCGGAAUUCGUCGUGUAGCGGUGAAAUGCUUAGAUAUGACGAAGAACCCCGAUUGCGAAGGCACUUUGCUGCAGCGGAACUGACGCUGAUGCUCGAAAGCGCGGGUAUCGAACAGGAUUAGAUACCCGAGUAGUC